rnacentral:tRNA from 10 species
GCUCAGUGGUAGAGCGAAUGACUGCGAAUGUGUUUAGUCGGUGGUUCGAG